rnacentral:rRNA from 1 species
CAUAACACUGAGAAAUUGGUACUAAUUCCCCAUAAUAUUCGGAGAGGCAUCUCUCCGGGUUGAAAACUCCGGUGGUUAUAGAUGGACAUGCGUUGUAUUAGCUAGUUGGUGAGGUAACGGCUCACCAAGGCAACGAUACAUAGGGGGACUGAGAGGUUAACCCCCCACACUGGUACUGAGACACGGACCAGACUCCUACGGGAGGCAGCAGUGAGGAAUAUUGGUCAAUGGACGCAAGUCUGAACCAGCCAUGCCGCGUGCAGGAAGACGGCUCUAUGAGUUGUAAACUGCUUUUGUACGAGGGUAAACUCACCUACGUGUAGGUGACUGAAAGUAUCGUACGAAUAAGGAUCGGCUAACUCCGUGCCAGCAGCCGCGGUAAUACGGAGGAUUCAAGCGUUAUCCGGAUUUAUUGGGUUUAAAGGGUGCGUAGGCGGUUUGAUAAGUUAGAGGUGAAAUCCCGGGGCUUAACUCCGGAACUGCCUCUAAUACUGUUAGACUAGAGAGUAGUUGCGGUAGGCGGAAUAUAUGGUGUAGCGGUGAAAUGCUUAGAGAUCAUACAGAACACCGAUUGCGAAGGCAGCUUACCAAACUAUAUCUGACGUUGAGGCACGAAAGCGUGGGGAGCAAACAGGAUUAGAUACCCUGGUAGUCCACGCAGUAAACGAUGAUAAAUUGAUUGUCGGCGAUACACCAGUCGGUGACUAAGAAAAAGCGAAAAUUAUCCCACCUGGGGAGUACGUUCGCAAGAAAGAAACUCAAAGGAAUUGACGGGGGCCCGCACAAGCGAGGGAACAUGUGGUUUAAUUUGAUGAUACGCGAGGAACCUUACCCGGGCUUGAAAGUUACUGACGAUUCUGGAAACAGGAUUUCCCUUCGGGGCAGGAAACUAGGUGCUGCAUGGUUGUCGUCAGCUCGUGCCGUGAGGUGUCGGGUUAAGUCCCAUAACGAGCGCAACCCCUACCGUUAGUUGCCAUCAGGUCAAGCUGGGCACUCUGGCGGGACUGCCGGUGUAAGCCGAGAGGAAGGUGGGGAUGACGUCAAAUCAGCACGGCCCUUACGUCCGGGGCUACACACGUGUUACAAUGGUAGGUACAGAGGGUCGCUACUCCGUGAGGAGAUGCCAAUCUCGAAAGCCUAUCUCAGUUCGGAUUGGAGGCUGAAACCCGCCUCCAUGAAGUUGGAUUCGCUAGUAAUCGCGCAUCAGCCAUGGCGCGGUGAAUACGUUCCCGGGCCUUGCA